GGUCGUGGGGUGUUUGUCCCUGUCUGUCCACGUUCCCCCUGUGUUGAAGGUGUGAAGGUGUUUCUCAUGUCAGCCCAGCAUCAUUCCUAUACUCAGACCACAUAGCAUUCCUUUAGGUAUUUAGCUCUUCCCGGAGGUUAGUGGGCGCAACCAUGUGGAAACAAGGGAGUCGGCUGCCAAGGAAAGUCUACAGUUUUAUGGGCAGGAAAUGGUGUGUGGUGUCGGGGUCAUUUUGUCCAGCCCCCCGCUUGUGCUGCGAGCCUUUUUUCUCCAGUGUGGCUGGCCUCACGCCAGACCAGUUAUGCAGGUUCAAGUGUCUAGGCUGUUGGCUGGUUCUCUCAUUUCACACCUGUGUGUGACCUGUUGCUUCUGGAGGACCUGGGUCUCACAUCUUCUCCAAGGUGUUUUCACUGACGGGUCCAUAGUGUGAAAGUGCAAGGCACCACAGCAACAAGGGUUUGCCCUGGUAAUUUGGGCCUCUGAAUGGCUCCUAUGCCAUUAGCUUUGCCUGUUGUCCAAGGGAAGCUCCUCUGGCUUGUCAGGAGGGCUGGAACUAUGCUUGCUCUUGAGUCCCCCUUGGUCAGUCCAGGGGUUCCUUAGGUGCCCUUUGUCAUGGGUCACUAUGAGCCGCUUUUAAUGGAGGUCAUCACAUUAGGCUCAAGGCCGUUCCCUUGUGCAAUAUCUCAGGGCCGACAUUUCCCAUUGAGGGCGAGUCCAUUAAGUGAAAACCUAUAUGCCAAGAGUGGGUUUGUUCUCUUGGAGGGCGUGGCUCUUAGGCUGAGGGAUCCCAUUUCCCCUGAGGUUUUCUGGGGCGUUCAGGAUGACAUCCUUCUGCUGUGUCAGUGUGGAGGUCACUCACGAGGGGAAUUGCAGUGCCGUACUGGGGGUUAAUGGAUGGCAGCACUCAUUGUGCUAAUGGCCGCACAUUCUGAAGGUGUCUGCACCACGAUGCAUUCAUGAUUGGCUGCAGACACACAGGCAAGAUGGGCAGCAAAUUUAAUGUUGAGGUGAGAAAGAGUGCACAUCACUGGGUGGUAUCGCCCUUUCCCUCUGUGCACCCGUGCACCAUCCUCAAAAGUGCAUGUGUUCUUUUACCUCAAGCCAGGUGGAGUGCCAGGGAAUGAAUGCCAGCAGCAGCAUGGCACCCUCCGUAUAGUCCGUGAUACCCAGUGAAGUGAGGACAGUGCGGCAAGGUGAUGCAAGGUGAAGGAGUCUUGGAGGGCUGUUGGCGUGAAGUCCUUGAGGUUCCUUAUGGAAACCUUGUGGCAGUAAGCAGAACUUCUUUGCAGAAACGUAGAUUUUUGGCCACAGGUACUUGUGCACCAAGACUACACCCUCACCUUCUUGGCUUUUCCAGGGGCACCCAAGCUCCAAUGCCCCGACACUUGGGUGCACUUCCUUCCCCAUGGCUCGGCUCUAGCCACUCCUGACUGCUGACAUGAUUGAGCUCACUGGCCCUCCCACGGUGGAGGCUGCAACUUUGCACAUCCAGCCUUUGAGCAGGUGCUUGGAUCAAUGAUGACUCCCAUAAAUGCAUUCCCUGGAAAUCUGAACAAAAUGAGUGAACAAUCUCUACUGUCUCCUCAUUGGAACUGAGGUCCAGCACGUGGCUCCCAAAAGAAAAUUACAGAGAGGUUCACACUGCAUUUGCGACCUUGGGCAUCUGCAACCACGUUGUUCACAUUGAGGGUGGUGGCCUCCUCAUGAGGAAAGAGCCAUUUGGAAAUGAACAAGGGAUGUCCAUCCACAUGGGAAUGCUGGGGAUGGCUUGAUGACUCUGGACCCCUGAGUCUAGCCAGGUCUCCUGUCCCCUUCUGCGGUUCAGCAUGCAGGUCCCUUCGAGCCACUUUUAAUGGAGGUCAUCGAAUUCGGCCAAGGGCCCUUCCCUUGUGGAAGAUUGCAGCGACCACGUUUCCCCUUGAAGGGGAGUGCAAUGUGAGGAAGCGUAUGUGCCAAGAGCAGGUGGAGUGCCAGUUAAUGAAUGGCGGCAGCAGCGUGGGGCCUUCUGGAUAGUCCAUGAUACCCAGUGACGUGAGGACAGUGUGGCAAGGCGAGGCAAGGCAAGGUGAAGGAGUUUCGGAGGGGUGUUGGCGUGAAGUCCUUGAGCUUCCUGGUGGAAACCUUGUGGCAGUGGAAUGCCAGGGAACGAAUGCCAGCAGCAGCCUGGAGCCCUCCAUAUAAUCCGUGAUACCCGGCGAAGUGAGGACGAUGCAGAAAGGCAAGGUGUGGUGUAGGAGUCUUGGAGGGGCGUUGGCGUGCAGUCCGUAAGGAUCCUGGUUUAACCCUUGUGGCGUUCAACUUAGAAUCAGCACUUGUUUUUUUAUGAAAGAACUAAUUUUUUUCACCUUGAGAAGUGAAAUGAUGGAGAAUAUCAUGACUAAAUCUGCCAUCCAAACCUCACAGUCCAGUGGGAAUUCUCACACUGGUCAUUGUGUCUGAGGGUGUUGGAAUCCUGAGUGCUCAGUCUCUGCCACAUAUCUCACGUUUAAUGUUCUUCUACAAAUGUACCUGUAUUGAUGAUGACUUCAGAAAUGGAUCUCAGAGGAGUCUGAAUGAAAUGACUGACAAAAUUACUUCUCAUGGAUCAAGUACUGUGUUUCAUAUGAAAGAGAGGUGACAUAAAGGACAGGAUUCAGAAUAAGUCUGCCUUUCCAUCCUUAAGGUCCAUUCUCAAACUGUAGAUUAGAGGUGAUAUUGAAGUUGGAUGGAAUUCCUCCCACUUCUUCAAGGAACUGCUGAUUUUCUCAUUCAUACCAGCUCCCUUCUGCAUAAAUAAUCACAACAAUGCACUCCAGAGAUGGAAGUGACUUUGGAAUUGCAUGGAAUACUCACCACCAUAAAAAAGUGCUGAUUUUGUUGCUUUCACCUGUUCCCUCUCCUGGGAUGGAACAAAAUAAUGAACUCCAAAGUUCCACAGAUAUGGACCACUGGUUGAGUUUAAUAUGAAAGAGUUUAUCCCUCUUCUUGAGAGGUGACAUGAAGGAAAGUAUUGAAAAUCAUUUUACCAUCUCAUCCUCAAAUGCCAGUGGGAAUUGUAACAUCAGUUGGAAGUAAUAUUGGAAUUGCAUGGAAUUCUUACCACCCCACCGAAGAAGAGCUGGUUUUGUCACUUCUGCCAGCUCCUUAUCUAAGAAGAAAUCCAAUGAUGCACUCUCAAGAAUUUUUGCAUUUUCUCAGUCUUCCUACUAAUGCCUCAUACAGGAAUUAAGCAUGGAGAUGAAAGUAAAGCCAUUCCUCACCAGUGUGGCAGAGAGAAACUGUUUCUACUGAGGGGUGUGCUUGGCCAAAUGUACUGAAUCCUCAGCAGUGUGGCCUGGUGAGCACCACCCUGACAAUAGGAUGGGAAGUAUUUCAUGGUUGACAUGUUCCAAAAACUGGGUUUCAUAAGGAUGAGUUUAUCCCUUCCCCGUGAGAUGAGACAUGAAGGAAAGUGUUGGGAAUAAUUCUACUUCCCAUCAUCAAAGGCCUGUGUGAAUUCUCACAAAGGUGAUAGAGCCUAGAAGGAAAGGGAAACUGUCUAUGCUUUUGCCUUAACCUUUGAAUGUCAGUUCUAGAGAAGGAGGUGACAACUUACUUCUCAGCCAGUGCUCUCCCUUCCCACCUGUGGUCCUUUGGACACCCUCGCAGAAGAUGACUUCUUGGGAACUCUUUUGGGAAUGAAUGAUACCAGUAAAUCCCUGAAGCAAGAUUCUUCAGACAGAGCCUAUUCACCUACCUGUUGUCCAAGGGCUACCCUCUGAAGGUGAUGACCACAGAGACGAGGUGGAUUUGUUACUGUGGGUACCAUUACUUCUACCAUCAGCUUCUUCAAAACAAUGAUACAGUCUUCUUUGUGCAUGGAAACUCUUCUAUUUCCUGUGUUGCAGUGGAUUCCUCCUGCAGAUAAGAAAUGCUUAACUGAGAAAUGCUCAUGUUGGGAUAUCAUCGAUGAGACUUUAAUUUGGGCAUGGUGACUGUUUCCCUUGCUUCCACUUGACUCAAUCCCAGGAGCCUCAGUAGAGGAAAUAUUAUUGCACAAGAAACUCAGAAUGAUGGAAUUGCUCAGUGCUCCCAUAAAUAUACAUUUAUAAUUUUCAUUUGCCAUGUGGUAAAUUUAAAAAUUAAGUUCUAUUAAAAUUUUUUCAAAAAUUCAAAGCAUAUCUAAAUAUCUAAUAUAUAAAUUAAGUGCCCUCCUCUCUCCCAAUUCUAUCUCCUAGAGUUAUCCUCUAUUAAAUAAGUUGUGUGCAUUCUUUAAGUGGAUAGAUGCACACACACACAAACACACACACACAAGAUAUUUUGGGGGGUUCUGAAAGUGGAGCUAUAUUGUACACAUUAUUCUUCAAAUUGCAUUUCAUUUAACAGUUUUUUCAAUACCUUUUUCUGUUUCAGUAAUACAUAUCUGUGUCAUUUGUUGAAUGACUGCAUGAUUGUUUUGUACAUGAAAUAUAAUUAAAUGUUUUAAGCAUUUCUCAUUCAUAGAUAUUUAUGUUAGCACCAAAUUUCUGUGCAAUGAACCUCCCUAUAUAUCAAUAAUUUGCAUUUGUCUAUUAUAUCAUAAUAAAUUACUCAGCAGUGAAAAUACUGGGAUUAAGUAUAUGCACAUUUCAAAUUUUGAAAAUGAUCACAAGAUUUCCUUUAAAAUGUGGUAACAACUUUAUCCUCAAAUGGCAAUGAAUGAGAUUGCCAGCUUUCCCACAACCUCACAGAUAAUGAAUUUUAUGACUAUUUAAAAUCUUUGCCAGUGUGAUAGCCCAAACUAUUGUCUUAAAUUGUAUUUCUUUCAUUUUUGAGUGUGAUCAUUUUUUCAUAUGUUUAUUAGCCAUCUGUAUUUUUAAAUUUUCUUUUUAUAUCCAAUUUUGGGGGUGGGUGGAGGUUUUAAUCUCUUGCUAAUUUCAGAGAGCUCAUUUAUUAUUGGGGGAAUAAGCUUUCGAUUGUCAAGCAUUACAGAUAUUUUUUACACACUUUUAAACUUCAUUUUUGUUAUAAGAAUGUGUAUGACUGUUAUGUGUCCAAGUAUAACCAUGUUCGCUUCUAUGGCUUCUGAGUUUCAUGUCAUUUUAGAAAGAUAUUUACACUGAUCCCAUAAAACUCUCCACCUGUGUUAACUUCUAAUUAUUUUGUGUUUUUUAAUUCAAAUUCUUAAAUCAUGAGAAAGUUUUUUUAUUUCAAAUCUUAAAGUUGCCAAGUUAUUUGCCAUUACUUGCGAUUAUUUGCCAAUAAUUGCCCAUUUAUCUGUAAUGCCAUCUUGCAUAUAUGCUGUAUUCUCAUCUGUGACUGGCUCCAUUUUUGUUCUGUGGGUCUGUGUGUCUCUUCUUCUGCCUCCUGUCUCAUGUGUCUUCUCAUUGGAAGAAAUUACAGUUUAGACUGCAAUUUCAUCAACUUCAAUAAAUUAAUUUAGUGGAGAAUUGGUUUUUAACAAUAGUCUUCCUAUCCAAGAACAAGGUAUGUCUUUCUUUUUAUUCAAUAAUUUUAAUUACUGUUAAUAUUUUCACUUUGUGGUGGGGGUAUCUUCUUUCAGUUUAUUUUCUUACUUGCUAAUUUUUCUAUAUCUGGAAGUUUUGUUUUGUUUUGGGGGUAAGUGAUCUCCUUACUCUUUCUCAUGGCUUUUCAGAAUUUUUUUUCAAAUUAUGUACUAAAUCCUUUGAAAAUACUGAUAGUUGUGAUUCUCCUCUUCCAAAUGAUCUGGAUUUUAGUUAUGUUGAUAAAAUUCACUGACUGAUACUUUCAGAGCACUUAAACAAUUGUGGGAAUAUUACCCACCAUUGAUUUAAUUAGGUUUUAAUGGAUACUUCUUGGGUUUGACCAGCAUGUUUUUGCUGGUCUAUUAAGCAAAAAGACUCUCAGAAACCUACUGCAGCAAGGGAAAACACCACUUUGACAAGGUUUAGUAGUGUUUCAAAAGCAGGAAAUUAGGGCUUUGAGGGAUGGGUUGAUGUGGUUUAAGGCAGGAUUUUCAAGGCAGGGAACUGGUUAAGAGUGGGCAAAAUUUGUCCUGCGAUAGUUUGAAGUCGAUGAAAGAGUAAGAUGAGGACCUUGAUGUGAGUUUAGAUAAUCAAAUUUUUGUCUGAUGAAUGAGCUACUUCCCUAUAUGAAUAAUAAGUUAUCAAUGAUGGAAGAACUAUUUGCUUAGAUGAACAGACUGAAUUUAUUUGUUGGUUUACAGUUCUAUCUUGUUUAUAGAACCCUGCUAGGGGUGGUAUCAGGUCUUAGUUCCAAUAGGUAAGUUAUUUUGAUGUAAGUAGUCUCAGUCAUCAAAGUAAGAUGCUAAUUUUAAAUUUGAGAUUCUUGUGUAUUGUGUUAGGAAAAGUCUCUUACCUUUGAUAUAUUUCUAAAGAAUUUUAAUCAAAACCAAGUGGUAGAUAUAAUCAAAUGCUUUUUGCAUAAACAAUUAUAUUAUUCUUUAAACUUUUAUCAUUGUGAAAUAAUUCAUUUUUAAUAUUGAAAUUUCCUUAUAUUCCUUUUAUUGUUUAUUCAGCAAACUCAUUUUGGUUAAAAAGAAGUUUUGCUUUUUAAAUUUACUACUGAAUUAUGAGUAUCUUAAUUUGAUUUGGAAUUUUUGCAGGUGUACUACUUAGAUGAAACUGAUCUGUAAUUUUCUUUUUUGUUCUGUUUUUGUCAUGUUUGUAUAUUAGAUUUUCUGGUUGUGUUAAAAUAAUUUUAAGGAUUUUCUUUUUACUCUGUGCUCUAGAAUGGGUUGAAAAGGUUUGGCAUUAACAUCAGCAGUUAAGCGAACACAUCAUUUAAAUCACCUGAAUUCUCCUUUGUUUUUGGUGGUUUGGAGUAGAACUGAGGCUAACUAUCUAGAAAGUGUUCUCACUUUUUUCUACGGUUAUUGCUUAUUUUUUGUUUUAUUAUCUUAUAUUUAACUUGUUUUCUACUAGAAAAUCACAGUCCAAGUAGAUUUGCAAACACGGUAUGUAGGAUGAAGUAAUACAAAGUGUUCUUUCAUCACUCUGUUAAUUUCUCUUGUCUCAAUUAAUAUCCAUUUUCAUUCCAGUCUUGGUUGUUUCUGCUAUGUCUUUUUUAAUGAAAUGAGUUUGACUCAUGGAUUUUUAUCAUCACUAUUUCUCCAUUCCCCUGUUCCCCAAUCAGCUCUUUGGUAUAAUUUAUCAGUGUUGUUUUUUUUAAUGUUCUAAUUUAUUUAUAUAUUUUUUCUGUAUUCCUCUGUGGUUUUUUCCUAAUAAAUUCUUAAACAUGUGUAA